CGUUUAGAUAUUGGUAAUGCCCUUGCCUGAAAGGAAUGGGGCGAAGCUAACAUCUGUAGUCUAAUGACUGAACGCCUCUAAGUCAGAAGACAUGCUAGGUGCGGAGUCACUUUCCCAAUGAUGUCACCCGACUAAGGAUACAUCCGCCUGUGUGGAUGCUGGAGCAUAUCCGUUGGUUUCCCCGUUAGGAUCACAAGUCCAAUACGGGUGCCAAGCACGACAAUUCCACUCGUCAUUGGGGUAAAUCCUCUGCAGACGACUUUGUUGCAACUGGGUAUUGUAAGUGGUAGAGUGGCCUUGCUGCUACGAUCCACUGAGAUUCAUCCCGUGUUGCUAUAAGAUUUGU
rnacentral:ncRNA from 1 species